GACUUAUAGCUCAGUGGUAGAGCAUCGGCAUGAUAUGCUGAAGGUUAUUGGUUCAAUUCCCAAAUAAGUCG
rnacentral:tRNA from 1 species